GCACUGGUGGUUCAGUGGAAGAACUCUUGCCUUCCAUACCAGAGACCCCAGUUUGAUCCUUGGCCAGUGCA
rnacentral:tRNA from 1 species